CUACGGGUUGCUCCAGGCGCGCAACCUUUACAAUGCACUAACGUGUGAUAAGGGGACUCCAAGUGCUUAUGCUCAGCAUAGGCUUUUGCCAAGAGUGAAGACCUUGGCGAGUAAGCGGUGGGUAAGACUGGUGCCAGCAGCCGCGGUAACACCAGCGCCGUCAAGUGGGAACUGGUUUUAUUGGGCCUAAAGCAUCCGUAGCUGGCCUAACAAGUCUUUUGGUGAAUCGAGGAGCUUAACUCAUCGGAAUGCGGAAGAUACUGUUAGGCUUGGGACUGGGAGGAGUGAGAGGAAUUUCGUGGGAAGCGGUAAAAUGCUAUAAUCCUCGAAAGACCACCGAUGGCGAAGGCAUCUCACCAGAACAGAUCCGACAGUGAGGGAUGAAAGCUAGGGGAGCAAACCGGAUUAGAUACCCCCGUAGUC
rnacentral:rRNA from 1 species